rnacentral:rRNA from 1 species
GGGUUGUGAGGUUAAGCGACUAAGCGUACACGGUGGAUGCCCUGGCAGUCAGAGGCGAUGAAGGACGUGCUAAUCUGCGAUAAGCGUCGGUAAGGUGAUAUGAACCGUUAUAACCGGCGAUUUCCGAAUGGGGAAACCCAGUGUGAUUCGUCACACUAUCAUUAACUGAAUCCAUAGGUUAAUGAGGCGAACCGGGGGAACUGAAACAUCUAAGUACCCCGAGGAAAAGAAAUCAACCGAGAUUCCCCCAGUAGCGGCGAGCGAACGGGGAGCAGCCCAGAGCCUGAAUCAGUGUGUGUGUUAGUGGAAGCGUCUGGAAAGGCGCGCGAUACAGGGUGACAGCCCCGUACACAAAAAUGCACAUGCUGUGAGCUCGAUGAGUAGGGCGGGACACGUGGUAUCCUGUCUGAAUAUGGGGGGACCAUCCUCCAAGGCUAAAUACUCCUGACUGACCGAUAGUGAACCAGUACCGUGAGGGAAAGGCGAAAAGAACCCCGGCGAGGGGAGUGAAAAAGAACCUGAAACCGUGUACGUACAAGCAGUGGGAGCACGCUUAGGCGUGUGACUGCGUACCUUUUGUAUAAUGGGUCAGCGACUUAUAUUCUGUAGCAAGGUUAACCGAAUAGGGGAGCCGAAGGGAAACCGAGUCUUAACUGGGCGUUAAGUUGCAGGGUAUAGACCCGAAACCCGGUGAUCUAGCCAUGGGCAGGUUGAAGGUUGGGUAACACUAACUGGAGGACCGAACCGACUAAUGUUGAAAAAUUAGCGGAUGACUUGUGGCUGGGGGUGAAAGGCCAAUCAAACCGGGAGAUAGCUGGUUCUCCCCGAAAGCUAUUUAGGUAGCGCCUCGUGAAUUCAUCUCCGGGGGUAGAGCACUGUUUCGGCAAGGGGGUCAUCCCGACUUACCAACCCGAUGCAAACUGCGAAUACCGGAGAAUGUUAUCACGGGAGACACACGGCGGGUGCUAACGUCCGUCGUGAAGAGGGAAACAACCCAGACCGCCAGCUAAGGUCCCAAAGUCAUGGUUAAGUGGGAAACGAUGUGGGAAGGCCCAGACAGCCAGGAUGUUGGCUUAGAAGCAGCCAUCAUUUAAAGAAAGCGUAAUAGCUCACUGGUCGAGUCGGCCUGCGCGGAAGAUGUAACGGGGCUAAACCAUGCACCGAAGCUGCGGCAGCGACGCUUAUGCGUUGUUGGGUAGGGGAGCGUUCUGUAAGCCUGUGAAGGUGUACUGUGAGGUAUGCUGGAGGUAUCAGAAGUGCGAAUGCUGACAUAAGUAACGAUAAAGCGGGUGAAAAGCCCGCUCGCCGGAAGACCAAGGGUUCCUGUCCAACGUUAAUCGGGGCAGGGUGAGUCGACCCCUAAGGCGAGGCCGAAAGGCGUAGUCGAUGGGAAACAGGUUAAUAUUCCUGUACUUGGUGUUACUGCGAAGGGGGGACGGAGAAGGCUAUGUUGGCCGGGCGACGGUUGUCCCGGUUUAAGCGUGUAGGCUGGUUUUCCAGGCAAAUCCGGAAAAUCAAGGCUGAGGCGUGAUGACGAGGCACUACGGUGCUGAAGCAACAAAUGCCCUGCUUCCAGGAAAAGCCUCUAAGCAUCAGGUAACAUCAAAUCGUACCCCAAACCGACACAGGUGGUCAGGUAGAGAAUACCAAGGCGCUUGAGAGAACUCGGGUGAAGGAACUAGGCAAAAUGGUGCCGUAACUUCGGGAGAAGGCACGCUGAUAUGUAGGUGAAGCGACUUGCUCGUGGAGCUGAAAUCAGUCGAAGAUACCAGCUGGCUGCAACUGUUUAUUAAAAACACAGCACUGUGCAAACACGAAAGUGGACGUAUACGGUGUGACGCCUGCCCGGUGCCGGAAGGUUAAUUGAUGGGGUUAGCGCAAGCGAAGCUCUUGAUCGAAGCCCCGGUAAACGGCGGCCGUAACUAUAACGGUCCUAAGGUAGCGAAAUUCCUUGUCGGGUAAGUUCCGACCUGCACGAAUGGCGUAAUGAUGGCCAGGCUGUCUCCACCCGAGACUCAGUGAAAUUGAACUCGCUGUGAAGAUGCAGUGUACCCGCGGCAAGACGGAAAGACCCCGUGAACCUUUACUAUAGCUUGACACUGAACAUUGAGCCUUGAUGUGUAGGAUAGGUGGGAGGCUUUGAAGUGUGGACGCCAGUCUGCAUGGAGCCGACCUUGAAAUACCACCCUUUAAUGUUUGAUGUUCUAACGUGGACCCGUAAUCCGGGUUGCGGACAGUGUCUGGUGGGUAGUUUGACUGGGGCGGUCUCCUCCUAAAGAGUAACGGAGGAGCACGAAGGUUGGCUAAUCCUGGUCGGACAUCAGGAGGUUAGUGCAAUGGCAUAAGCCAGCUUGACUGCGAGCGUGACGGCGCGAGCAGGUGCGAAAGCAGGUCAUAGUGAUCCGGUGGUUCUGAAUGGAAGGGCCAUCGCUCAACGGAUAAAAGGUACUCCGGGGAUAACAGGCUGAUACCGCCCAAGAGUUCAUAUCGACGGCGGUGUUUGGCACCUCGAUGUCGGCUCAUCACAUCCUGGGGCUGAAGUAGGUCCCAAGGGUAUGGCUGUUCGCCAUUUAAAGUGGUACGCGAGCUGGGUUUAGAACGUCGUGAGACAGUUCGGUCCCUAUCUGCCGUGGGCGCUGGAGAACUGAGGGGGGCUGCUCCUAGUACGAGAGGACCGGAGUGGACGCAUCACUGGUGUUCGGGUUGUCAUGCCAAUGGCACUGCCCGGUAGCUAAAUGCGGAAGAGAUAAGUGCUGAAAGCAUCUAAGCACGAAACUUGCCCCGAGAUGAGUUCUCCCUGACUCCUUGAGAGUCCUGAAGGAACGUUGAAGACGACGACGUUGAUAGGCCGGGUGUGUAAGCGCAGCGAUGCGUUGAGCUAACCGGUACUAAUGAACCGUGAGGCUUAACCUUACAACGCCGAAGCUGUU